rnacentral:rRNA from 1 species
GACGAACGCUGGCGGCGUGCUUAACACAUGCAAGUCGAACGGAAAGGCCCUGCUUUUGUGGGGUGCUCGAGUGGCGAACGGGUGAGUAACACGUGAGUAACCUGCCCUUGACUUUGGGAGAACUUCAGGAAACUGGGGCUAAUACCUGAUAGGAGCUCCUGCUGCAUGGUGGGGGUUGGAAAGUUUCGGCGGUUUGGGUUGGACUCGCGGCUUAUCAGCUUGUUGGUGGGGUAGUGGCUUACCAAGGCUUUGACGGGUAGCCGGCCUGGGAGGGUGACCGGCCACAUUGGGACUGGGGUACGGGCCAGACUCCUACGGGAGGCAGCGGUGGGGAAUAUUGCACAAUGGGCGGAAGCCUGAUGCAGCAACGCCGCGUGCGGGAUGACGGCCUUCGGGUUGUAAACCGCUUUCGCCUGUGACGAAGCGUGAGUGACGGUAAUGGGUAAAGAAGCACCGGCUAACUACGUG